GACGAACGCUGGCGGCGUGCUUCACACCUGCAAGUCGAACGGAAAGGCCCUGCUUUUGUGGGGUGCUUGCGUGGCGAACGGGUGAGUCACAAGUGAGUAGACUGCCCUUGACUUUGGGAUAAAUUCAGGUACCUGGGGCUAAUACAGGAUAGGAGCUCCUGCUGCAUGGUGGGGGUUGGAUAGUUUCGGCGGUUGGGGAUGGACUCGCGGCUUAUGAGCUUGUUGGCGGGGUAGUGGCUUACCAAGGCUUUGACGGGUAGCCGGCCUGAGUGUGUGACGAGUAGCGUUAGGAUUGAGAUAGGGCCCAGAAAGCUACGGUAGGCAGCAGUGGGGAAUAUUGCACUAUGAACGGAAGCCAGAUGCAGCAACGCCGCGAGCGGGAUGAAGGCCUUCGGGUUGUAAACCGCUUGCGCCUGUAACGAAGCGUGAGUGACGGUAAUGGGUAAAGGAGCACCGGCUAACUACGUG
rnacentral:rRNA from 1 species